rnacentral:rRNA from 1 species
UACACUCCUGCGGGAGGCAGCAGUGGGGAAUUUUGGACAAUGGGCGAAAGCCUGAUCCAGCAAUGCCGCGUGAGUGAAGAAGGCCUUCGGGUUGUAAAGCUCUUUUGUCAGGGAAGAAACGGUGAAAGCUAAUAUCUUUUGCUAAUGACGGUACCUGAAGAAUAAGCACCGGCUAACUACGUGCCAGCAGCCGCGGUAAUACGUAGGGUGCAAGCGUUAAUCGGAAUUACUGGGCGUAAAGCGUGCGCAGGCGGUUUUGUAAGUCUGAUGUGAAAUCCCCGGGCUCAACCUGGGAAUUGCAUUGGAGACUGCAAGGCUAGAAUCUGGCAGAGGGGGGUAGAAUUCCACGUGUAGCAGUGAAAUGCGUAGAUAUGUGGAGGAACACCGAUGGCGAAGGCAGCCCCCUGGGUCAAGAUUGACGCUCAUGCACGAAAGCGUGGGGAGCAAACAGGAUUAGAUACCCUUGUAGUCCC